UGUAAAAUUCUUUCUUUCGAUUGGUCAAUCAAAUGCUUUGAAGCAUUUGUAGCGCUAAGGGUGGGUUCCACUUAACAUCCGCAACGCUCGUGUGUAUUAUUUCAUUGUUUAAUAUCUAUAAGACCGGAAUC